UACGAAGGGGGCUAGCGUUGUUCGGAAUUACUGGGCGUAAAGCGUGCGCAGGCGGCCUUCCAAGUCAGGGGUGAAAGCCCAGAGCUCAACUCUGGAAUUGCCUUUGAGACUGUGAGGCUUGAGUACGGGAGAGGUGAGUGGAAUUCCCAGUGUAGAGGUGAAAUUCGUAGAUAUUGGGAAGAACACCUGUGGCGAAGGCGGCUCACUGGACCGCAACUGACGCUGAGGCGCGAAAGCUAGGGGAGCAAACAGG
rnacentral:rRNA from 1 species